rnacentral:rRNA from 1 species
CCAAUAGCGUAUAUUAAAGUUGUUGCAGUUAAAAAGCUCGUAGUUGAAUUUCGGGAUCAGUACGUUGGUCGUGCCUUGGUAUGUACUGGCGUCACUGAUUCCUCCCUUCUGAAGAACCGUCAUGCCAUUCAGUGGGUGUGGCGGGGAAUCAGGACUGUUACUUUGAAAAAAUUAGAGUGUUUAAAGCAGGCUCGCGCUUGAAUACAUUAGCAUGGAAUAAUGAAAUAGGACGUUAAUCCUAUUUUGUUGGUUUCUAGGAUCGACGUAAUGAUUAAUAGGGAUAGUUGGGGGCAUUAGUAUUCAAUUGUCAGAGGUGAAAUUCUUGGAUUUAUUGAAGACUAACUACUGCGAAAGCAUUUGCCAAGGAUGUUUUCAUUAAUCAAGAACGAAAGUUAGGGGAUCGAAGACGAUCAGAUACCGUCGUAGUCUUAACCAUAAACUAUGCCGACUAGGGAUCGGAUGAUGUUAAUUUUUUAAUGACUCAUUCGGCGCCUUACG